rnacentral:rRNA from 1 species
CCUACGGGAGGCUGCAGUGGGGGAUAUUGCACAAUGGGGGGAACCCUGAUGCAGCGACGCCGCGUGGGUGAAGAAGCGCCUCGGCGCGUAAAGCCCUGUCAGCAGGGAAGAAAAUGACGGUACCUGAAGAAGAAGCCCCGGCUAACUACGUGCCAGCAGCCGCGGUAAUACGUAGGGGGCAAGCGUUAUCCGGAUUUACUGGGUGGAAAGGGGGCGCAGACGGCGAUGCAAGCCAGGAGUGAAAGCCCGGGGCCCAACCCCGGGACUGCUCUUGGAACUGCGUGGCUGGAGUGCAGGAGGGGCAGGCAGAAUUCCUGGUGUAGCGGUGAAAUGCGUAGAUAUCAGGAGGAACACCGGUGGCGAAGGCGGCCUGCUGGACUGCAACUGACGUUGAGGCCCGAAAGCGUGGGGAGCAAACAGGAUUAGAUACCCUGGUAGUC